rnacentral:rRNA from 1 species
CUGGCUCAGGAUGAACGCUAGCUACAGGCUUAACACAUGCAAGUCGCGGGGCAGCAUAGUGAUUGCUUGCAAUUACUGAUGGCGACCGGCGCACGGGUGAGUAACGCGUAUCCAACCUACCCUUUACUACGGGAUAACCCGGCGAAAGUCGGACUAAUACCGUAUGUAGUCCAUUGACGGCAUCCGAU